UACGAAGGGGGGCUAGCGUUGCUCGGAAUCACUGGGCGUAAAGCGCACGUAGGCGGACUCUUAAGUCGGUGGUGAAAUCCUGGAGCUCAACUCCAGAACUGCCUUCGAUACUGGCGACCUAGAGUUCGGAAGAGGUUAGUGGAAUUCCCAGUGUAGAGGUGAAAAUUCGUAGAUAUUGGGAAGAACACCAGUGGCGAAGGCGGCUAACUGGUCCGAUACUGACGCUGAGGUGCGAAAGCGUGGGGAGCAAACAGG
rnacentral:rRNA from 1 species